rnacentral:rRNA from 1 species
UCGGGAAUAUUGGACAAUGGGCGAAAGCCUGAUCCAGCCAUGCCGCGUGAGUGAAGAAGGCCUUCGGGUUGUAAAGCUCUUUUGUCAGGGAAGAAACGGUAGUAGCGAAUAACUAUUACUAAUGACGGUACCUGAAGAAUAAGCACCGGCUAACUACGUGCCAGCAGCCGCGGUAAUACGUAGGGUGCAAGCGUUAAUCGGAAUUACUGGGCGUAAAGCGUGCGCAGGCGGUUGUGUAAGUCAGAUGUGAAAUCCCCGGGCUCAACCUGGGAAUUGCAUUUGAGACUGCACGGCUAGAGUGUGUCAGAGGGGGGUAGAAUUCCACGUGUAGCAGUGAAAUGCGUAGAUAUGUGGAGGAACACCAAUGGCGAAGGCAGCCCCCUGGGUUAGCACUGACGCUCAUACACGAAAGCGUGGGGAGCAAACAGGAUUAGAUACCCCCGUAGUCCCUGAGCGGGCUGGCAAGGCGCAU